UCCUUGUGUACCUGAGGCCUUCCAAAGGCCCUCCAUCCUUUUCCUCUCCCUGAUGCCAUUGACCAGAGUUCCUCAAGUGCUCCUCUCCACUCUAGCAAGGCUCAGAGUUUGUCUGCUGUCUCUGCAGCUCUGCAACCCUUCUCCUGCCCAUGGGAUUCUUCCUCCAGCACCACCUGCAUUUCAGUGAGUGGGCAGGCAGCCCACCAG